rnacentral:rRNA from 1 species
AGUUUAGCUAAUGUUGCCCGUACCGUAAACCGACACAGGUGGGUGGGAUGAGUAUUCUAAGGCGCGUGGAAGAACUCUCUUUAAGGAACUCUGCAAAAUAGCACCGUAUCUUCGGUAUAAGGUGUGGUUCGCUUCGUAUUAGGAUUUACUCCGAAAGCGAAGAAACUUACAACAAAGAGUCCCUCCCGACUGUUUACCAAAAACACAGCACUCUGCUAACUCGUAAGAGGAUGUAUAGGGUGUGACGCCUGCCCGGUGCUCGAAGGUUAAUUGAUGGGGUUAGCAUUAGCGAAGCUCUUGAUCGAAGCCCGAGUAAACGGCGGCCGUAACUAUAACGGUCCUAAGGUAGCGAAAUUCCUUGUCGGUUAAAUACCGACCUGCAUGAAUGGCGUAACGAGAUGGGAGCUGUCUCAAAGAGGGAUCCAGUGAAAUUGUAGUGGAGGUGAAAAUUC